rnacentral:rRNA from 1 species
ACUGAACGCUGGCGGCAUGCCUUACACAUGCAAGUCGAACGGUAACAGGUCUUCGGAUGCUGACGAGUGGCGAACGGGUGAGUAAUACAUCGGAACGUGCCUAGUAGUGGGGGAUAACUACUCGAAAGAGUGGCUAAUACCGCAUGAGAUCUACGGAUGAAAGCAGGGGAUCGCAAGACCUUGUGCUACUAGAGCGGCCGAUGGCAGAUUAGGUAGGUGGUGGGGUAAAAGCUUACCAAGCCGACCAUCUUUAGCUGGUAUGAGAGGACGAUCAGCCACACUGGGACUGAGACACGGCCCAGACUCAGACGGGAGGCAGCAGUGGGGAAUUUUGGACAAUGGGCGAAAGCCUGAUCCAGCAAUGCCGCGUGCAGGAUGAAGGCCUUCGGGUUGUAAACUGCUUUUGUACGGAACGAAAAGCCCUGGGUUAAUACCCUGGGGUCAUGACGGUACCGUAAGAAUAAGCACCGGCUAACUACGUGCCAGCAGCCGCGGUAA